CUGCUGCAGCCCAUGCUGCUUCUGCUGCUGCUGCUGCUGCUGCGGCAUGGGCUGCUGCUCAUGCUGCAGCAGCUGCUGCAGUUGCUGCAACAGCUGCUGCAGUUGCUGCAGCAGCUGCUGCAGUUGCUGCAACAGCUGCUGCAGUUGCUGCAACAGCUGCUGCAGUUGCUGCAACAGCUGCUGCUGCUGCUGCUGUUGCUGCUGCUGCAGCAGCAGCUAAUUAUCCCGAACUGUAUCUGGAGAAGUGCUGCUGCUUUUGUCU
rnacentral:sRNA from 1 species